rnacentral:ncRNA from 1 species
AGUAAUGAUUAAUAGGGACUGUCGGGGGCAUUCGUAUUUCAUUGUCAGAGGUGAAAUUCUUGGAUUUAUGAAAGACGAACCACUGCGAAAUCAUUUGCCAAGGAUGUUAUAUCAAGAACGAAAGUUGGGGGCUCGAAGACGAUCAGAUACCAUCCUAGAAUAAACCAUAAACGAUGCCGACCAGGGAUCGACGGAUGUUGCUCUAAGGACUCCGCCAGCACCUUCUGAGCAAUCAGAGUGUUUGGGUUCCAGGGGGAGUAUGGUCGCAAGGCUGAAACUUAAAGGAAUUGAUGGAAGGGCACCACCAGGAGUGGAGCCUGUGGCUUAAUUUGACUCAACACGGGAAAACUUACCAGGUCCAGACAUAGUAAGGAUUGACAGAUUGAGAGCUCUUUCUUGAUUCUAUGGGUGGUGGUGCAUGCCCAUUCUUAGUUGGUGGAGCGAUUUGUCUAGUUAAUUGCGAUAACGAAAGAGACCUCAGCCUGCUAACUAGAUACAUGGAGGUUCCCCUUCGCGGCCAGCUUCUUAGAGGGACUAUGGCCGUUUAGGCCAUGGAAGUUUGAGGCAAUAAUAGGUCUGUGAUGCCCUUAGAUGUUCUGGGCCGCACGUGCACUACACUGAUGCAGUCAAUGAGUUUUUCUCCCUGGUUCGAGAGGAUCAGGAAAUCUUCUCAAAUUACAUCGUGAUGGGGAUAGACCAUUGCAAUUAUUGGUCUUCAAUGAGGAAUUCCUAGUAAGCGCAUGUCAUCAACUCGUGUUGACUACGUCCCUGCCCUUUGUACACAUCGCCCGUCGCUCCUACCGAUUGAAUGAUCCGGUGAAGUGUCUGGAUCACGUCAAUGAGGGUGGUUUGCCAUCGAUGAUGUCAUGAGAAGUUCAAUGAACCUUAUCAUUUAGAGGAAGGAGAAGUCGUAACAAGGUUACCGUAGGUGAACCUACAGUAGGAUCAUUU